UAGGGAAUCUUCCACAAUGGGCGCAAGCCUGAUGGAGCAACACCGCGUGAGUGAAGAAGGGUUUCGGCUCGUAAAGCUCUGUUGUUAAAGAAGAACACGUAUGAGAGUAACUGUUCAUACGUUGACGGUAUUUAACCAGAAAGUCACGGCUAACUACGUGCCAGCAGCCGCGGUAAUACGUAGGUGGCAAGCGUUAUCCGGAUUUAUUGGGCGUAAAGAGGGUGCAGGCGGUUUUAUAAGUCUGAUGUGAAAGCCUUCGGCUUAACCGGAGAAGUGCAUCGGAAACUGGAUAACUUGAGUGCAGAAGAGGGUAGUGGAACUCCAUGUGUAGCGGUGGAAUGCGUAGAUAUAUGGAAGAACACCAGUGGCGAAGGCGGCUACCUGGUCUGCAACUGACGCUGAGGCUCGAAAGCAUGGGUAGCGAACAGGAUUAGAUACCCUGGUAGUCCAUGCCGUAAACGAUGAGUGCUAGGUGUUGGAGGGUUUCCGCCCUUCAGUGCCGGAGCUAACGCAUUAAGCACUCCGCCUGGGGAGUACGACCGCAAGGUUG
rnacentral:rRNA from 1 species